rnacentral:misc_RNA from 1 species
UGAUUCUCUAUCGGAAUC